AAAUAUGAAGUAUUAUACACUUAGUUUCGACCUAAUUUUUGGGUUGAAGUUUUUAACACUUGAUUUU
rnacentral:tRNA from 1 species